rnacentral:rRNA from 1 species
CACGUAGUUAGCCGUGGCUUAUUCGUCAGGUACCGUCACUUGCUUCGUCCCUGACAAAAGAAGUUUACAACCCGAAAGCCUUCUUCCUUCACGCGGCGUUGCUGGGUCAGGCUUGCGCCCAUUGCCCAAUAUUCCCCACUGCUGCCUCCCGUAGGAGUCUGGGCCGUGUCUCAGUCCCAAUGUGGCCGUUCACCCUCUCAGGCCGGCUACUGAUCGUCGCCUUGGUGGGCUUCUACCCCGCCAACCAGCUAAUCAGACGCGGAUCCAUCUUACACCACCGGAGUUUUUCACACUGAGCCAUGCGGCUCCGUGCGCUUAUGCGGUAUUAGCACCUAUUUCUAAGUGUUAUCCCCCAGUGCAAGGCAGGUUAUCCACGCGUUACUCACCCGUCCGCCACUAAGUUACGAAUCACUAGGUUUCAUCGUAACUCCGUUCGACUUGCAUGUGUUAGGCACGCCGCCAGCGUUCAUCCUGAGCCAGGACUCAAACUCU